rnacentral:lncRNA from 1 species
CUGGAGUCAAAGGGUGAGCUGUCAUGUAGGUGCUGGGAACCAAACCCAGGUCCUCUGGAAGAGCAGUCACUCUACCAGACCCCAAAGAGCCAGAGGAAGGGUGUUUCUGAGCCCCGCUCUUCCUUGACAACCUUUUGCCUGAAGAUAAAGAGGGUUUUAGGCCCCCACCCCAGAUGGUCCCAACCUCGAGACACAAAGCCAGAACCGCAGCAACCCUCUUAUCAUGGAGCUUUGGUGCUGUCUCCUGAAGCAGGAGUCAAGAUGAGGGAGGCUAGAACAUUUAAGUCUGGUAAGUGUCUUGCUCUGUGUCUAUCCAGGUCCACUGCAAAGAUUUCUCAAGAUACAAGAGCUGAUGGUUGAGGACCAUUCUUGGGAAUACACCUCUCCACUCCGCCCACCUAUCUCCUCUAUGGCAAGUGGGUUAAGUUGAUGGCAUCCAUAGAAAAAAAAGGAAGAAAAACCAGGAGGGA